AGUGAACGCUGGCGGUAGGCCUAACACAUGCAAGUCGAACGGCAGCACAGUAAGAGCUUGCUCUUACGGGUGGCGAGUGGCGGACGGGUGAGGAAUACAUCGGAAUCUACUUUUUCGUGGGGGAUAACGUAGGGAAACUUACGCUAAUACCGCAUACGACCUACGGGUGAAAGCAGGGGAUCUUCGGACCUUGCGCGAUUGAAUGAGCCGAUGUCGGAUUAGCUAGUUGGCGGGGUAAAGGCCCACCAAGGCGACGAUCCGUAGCUGGUCUGAGAGGAUGAUCAGCCACACUGGAACUGAGACACGGUCCAGACUCCUACGGGAGGCAGCAGUGGGGAAUAUUGGACAAUGGGCGCAAGCCUGAUCCAGCCAUACCGCGUGGGUGAAGAAGGCCUUCGGGUUGUAAAGCCCUUUUGUUGCGAAAGAAAAGCAGCAGGUUAAUACCCCGCUGUUCCGACGGUACCCAAAGAAUAAGCACCGGCUAACUUCGUG
rnacentral:rRNA from 1 species